UUGUUCACUAUAUCUAAAAAAAAUUUCAAAAUUUAAUUGAACAAAUAUGGGCGACAAACAACCUCAAAAUUAUAACGCCGGUCUACCAUUUAAUGUAUUUAAGCGGAUUCAGGCAGAACUUAAUACGACACAGAAUAAAGUUCUACUGGGAUUGACCGUAGCUGCUACUGCCGGAUUCCUUGGCUACGUCACAUAUGUGCGUCACAAGUAUGAGCGACUUGGUUAUUAUUUAGCCUUUAGAGAAGAUGGUAGCAAGGAAUUUGUUAAAAGGACAUCCAACUGGGAAACAUAAAACGCUUAUUUUGACAAAUCCAUGUAAUGGAAUAUAUUUUUGGAAUAUAAUGCUUUUAAGAACAAAAUUAUAAUGGGUAUAGGACUGGCGGCAGCUGCUGGAGUCUUUGGUUAUAUAGCGUAUAUGCGUCACAAAUACGAGGAUCUUGGCUACUAUGUCGCUGUUAA